rnacentral:rRNA from 1 species
UACGGGGGGGGCAAGCGUUGUUCGGAAUUACUGGGGGUAAAGGGCUCGUAGGCGGCCAACUAAGUCGGAUGUGAAAUCCCCAGGCUUAACCUGGGAACUGCAUCCGAUACUGAAUGGCUUGAAUCCGGGAGAGGGAUGCAGAAUUCCAGGUGUAGCGGUGAAAUGCGUAGAUAUCUGGAGGAAUACCGGUGGCGAAGGCGGCAUCCUGGACCGGCAUUGACGCUGAGGAGCGAAAGCUAGGGGAGCAAACGGG